CUUGUGGACAAGGCAAUGUGGUGUUCGGGCGUGCACCUGGGGACGCUGGCCUACUCGAAGUCCAACUCCGAUUAUGGCUCGUACAACGCCCAGAGCGGGUGAAAGGCCCGUGCGGGUAGGUGGUGAUUCUAUGGCGCUCCUCAGAUGUGCAUGCUCUCGAGUCGGAUUGCUUGAGAAUGCAGUCCAAAGUGGGUGGUAAACUCCAUCCAAGGCUAAAUACUGGCGCGAGUCCGAUAGUAGACAAGUACCGUGAGGGAAAGUUGAAAAGUACUCUGAAGAGAGAGUAAAUAGUACGUGAAGCCGCUUGCAGGGAAGCUGGUGGAGUCAAGCUUCGUGCCUGUGGAUUUGACAUCAGGACCUUCUUGUGUCUGUGGGAGGGCCACGCUGACGAGCCUGGAAAUGGUUUGGCGCAUUCGUGCGCUUCAAGUCACUCUGGGUUGUGUGUUUGUGUCUGGCGUGUCCUAGCUCCCGGUCCUGGUGCUGAAUUCCGCAAUCUUGGCACACAUCACGGUCGACAAUGGUUCGUAUUGUGUGACAGUACUAACCGUGCUCAGGCGGUCACUCGUGGCUGCCGGGCAUGGGAUGGCAGGUUGCUGGAACGGGUCUCCUGGCCCGGAUUCAGCCUAAUCUGGUUUCGACCUGCCGACUGUCAUGUGUGCAUUUAACAAUAUCGGCCUUGUCGCUCACAUGCGGCUCGUGCUCCAAGUGAGCGCGAGUCACUGAGAGCCGUGUUGCUGAGGU
rnacentral:rRNA from 1 species